GUUGCUGGUUCUUUCGGACGUAGCUCAUUCGUAAUACAUUAGCAUCUCAAUUUCGAACUUCGGAUUGACUCAGCGUAAUAGACUAUUCGUUGAGGACACCUCACGGUGGCCGAAUAAGAAGACAGUUAGAAGCUCUAAUCAGAUCUUAGUCGACUUUUAGAUUAGACCUCAGAUCAGGCAGGAUUACCCGCUGAACUUAA
rnacentral:misc_RNA from 1 species